rnacentral:misc_RNA from 1 species
AGCCCUUCAGACACUUGCUGUCUCCC